rfam:Schistosoma curassoni strain Dakar, Senegal genome assembly, scaffold: SCTD_contig0006194
AUCCAACUGACGAAUCCCAAACAAGAUGAAAUGCUCGUCCUCGAU